CACGUAGGGGGCAAGCGUUGUCCGGAUUUAUUGGGCGUAAAGAGCUCGUAGGCGGCUUAGUAAGUCGGGUGUGAAACCUCCAGGCUCAACCUGGAGACGCCACCCGAUACUGCUGUGGCUAGAGUCCGGUAGGGGAGCGUGGAAUUCCUGGUGUAGCGGUGAAAUGCGCAGAUAUCAGGAGGAACACCAACAGCGAAGGCAGCACUCUGGGCCGGUACUGACGCUGAGGAGCGAAAGCAUGGGGAGCGAACAGG
rnacentral:rRNA from 1 species